CCCUUUUGUGGCUGUGACUGCCCGCCCUCACAACGGCCCGUUUUCUUCCCAGUGCUCUGAACUUUUGGGCAAAUGUGUCAAGUGUGUACACAGACAAAGCCUCACUUCAAAGCUCGUGUUCAGGGCCCUUAAAGUCAUAGUUAUUGCAAAACUGCGGCCGUCUGGCGAACCUGCCUUAUGUAAGGGUGCUUGAACGUAUGAUUCACCAAACAUUUCCGCAGACAUCGCAAAGUUGUUGGAGCCAGAGUAGGAGAAAGACCACCCAUUUGAGAUCAUGGCUUGACAGGGAACACUCCCUCCUGCCACCAGAAUGGGACCAAUCUAGACAUCUCUUCUCUGGCUUCCUUGUGCCUGGCCUUUUUUGGAGGGUUGGGAUAGUGGCCUGUCUUCAUGCAUGGUGAGAUAACACCAACAUCGAAGGAAGAUCUUUGCCACAGAGGAUCCUAGUUCCAGCUCCCAGAAUGACACUUUAACGGGAAAUCAUCUGAUUUUCUUUUUCUGGCCGUGAGACUAAUGGAAGUUUUCAUGUGAGUGUCCAAAGAGAUGAUCUUGGAGUCUGGGAUACAACCAAGGAAGCAGCACGUCUGCCUGCACAUUAUGAUGCCUCCCACCAUGAUGACAAUGGACUAAAACCUCUGAAACGGUCCGGCUUGUUUGAUGUGGGAGCUAAGUCGGUCUAUACUGGUCUAACACAAAGCGAACACCCCAAGCGGGCCUGGACUAGAGAGGCUACCUGAACUGUGGCGUGCUUAAAGCAGUACCACAGAGAUGGGAGGCACCCAAGAGUCUUUGCCCCAUCAGGUGCUGCAAGAAACCUCUUCACUGAGCAGUUUAUAAACAAGUGUACUCCUCAGAGUCUGGAGGAAGGAGGUCUAAGAGGUAUCGGCCCCAACGCCUCCUAUCUUGUGGAUCGAGUUCCUGUGGAGGAAGCUAACACAGCGGUAAGCAAAUGUGGACUGACAGAGGACACAGGGCCAUUCGAGAAACUGUCAGAAACUGAGAAUCACCUCAGAACACGCUGAGAAGGAGAGCUAAGGAGGUGAGGCCUGGGUUGUGGGAGGUUGGCACCUGACAGCAGUGGUUCCCACUGCUGGGUUCUCUUCUGGUUUUGAUUGUCUACGCUCAGGCUUCAGAGCCCUGGGCAUGAGAAAAAAAAAGGGAGAAUGAAUACGUUAGUAUUCCAUGAAGGCAUAGAAGCAGGUAUGUGGGAAUGGCUGUCGUUCCAUCUUCUGGGUAGUCAUGGCUGUCAGGUGGGAGGCCCAGGGAGAGCCAGUGUCCCGUCAGUCAAAACCAUGGCAGGGUGGCUUACAUUCUAUCUCAGAUAAAUUCUUUUUGUUUGGUAGAGAAGCAUUCUCUCUGCUCUAUUUCAGCUUCGGUUAAAUGGACUACGAGGACCCACGUCAUAGAGGGAAGUCUGUCUCACUGAUUCUGAUUUUUUUCAAAUAAAAUGUUUUCUUGGUUCUCUGAAGUCUGGCAUCUGUUCUGCUCGGUUCUGUGUUUCAAGGGUCUGACCCUAAGCCUGGCUUCUUUAAAAAGCAGAACAAAAUGGAAGACGCCCGCCCCGGAGAUGAAUUCUGGGAAGUUAGUCUUUGGGAGAAAGGUCGCUCUCCAGGAAGAAUUUCUGAGCCAGGUGAAACAUUGCUUCAAUCACACAAGAAUGAAACAACCUUCUGACACCCCUACUACCACCACUACCUCCCUUCACAUGAGUGAACUUGGAACACAGGCUGGCCCUGUUUGGACCAUGCUCAUUCUGAGAUCCACAGGCUCAUGGGUGAGCAACAAUGUUGUUAAAAGCAGCCAAUCGUGACUGUGGCCUUUUAACUUCUCAGCUGAGAAAGAAAAGACAGCGGGUGCCUUUAUACUGCAAAACAAGACCUUCUUGAUGAAGAUUUUGUGCAAUGCAUUGUGACCAUACUUAAGGUGCAUCCAGUUAGACAUGCUCAGUUUUCAGUGACCCACAAAGAGGGACAUGACUGUAAAAUGAAACAACUCAAAAUACCUUGGGAUGGAUGGAGCUCGGGGAAGAAGAGCUCAGACAUAGACAGCAGGGAAGGUCACUUAUGCCAAGAUGAAGUGUAAAUAUUUUAUCCAGGGGACGGCAGGGACAGGAUGGGCACAGGCGAGAAUGGUGUGUAUCCACAGCUUCACACAUACCUACUUCUAUCCACGCCUGUAUGUUGGCAUAGAUGUUAUCAGAUUUCUUAAGAGUCUAAUUUUAAAGCCGCUACUGACACCUUUCUGUGGGACAGGAUAAAAAAGAGUGGGCAGCAAGCCUGCAUUUUGAGAAGAAGCCUCUUUGCACCCCACAUUUAAGAUCCCUCUUGGCUGUGAAAGAAAACCAAAGAUACAAAACCACACAGAAGCAGAGCUUAAUGGAUGAUGGUAAGGAUGUUGGAUCAUAGCUGCCCUCUUCCCGCCUCAGGAACCACUCUUUUUGAAUAAAAUCAUUGCCUCCCUGCAUUCCCUUCUAGGUAGCCAUCUCAAUGUGUGGCCCUCAACACUGCAGGUUAACAUUGUCCCUUCUCUUGGAAAUUGUUUGAUAUCCUAUCAAGUAAUUUCUAAUACU
rnacentral:lncRNA from 1 species